rnacentral:snoRNA from 1 species
CCGAAAAGCUUCAAAUGAUGAGACCUUGCAAUGAACCGAAUUUUUAGGAAGAGCCGGAAGAGGUAUGACAAAUAGGGCCCAAAAGAGGAUUCCGUUUGUCGUCGAUGCUUAUAAUGGUUCUGCUGAAGGAGUUUUUGAG